AUCCCAUGAUGUGGGCACUUUCGAAGCAUCUCCUUGUAGCGUUCCCAAGCUUCACAUAAAGUUUCACCAGACAGCUGAGAGAAUUGAGUGAUAGCAUUCCUGAUUGC
rfam:Daucus carota subsp. sativus cultivar DH1 chromosome 3, whole genome shotgun sequence.